rnacentral:rRNA from 1 species
UACAGAGGUCUCAAGCGUUGCUCGGAUUCAUUGGGCGUAAAGGGUGCGUAGGUGGCGCCGUAAGUCGGGUGUGAAAUUUCGGAGCUUAACUCCGAAACUGCAUUCGAUACUGCGGUGCUUGAGGACUGGAGAGGAGACUGGAAUUCAUGGUGUAGCAGUGAAAUGCGUAGAGAUCAUGAGGAAGACCAGUGGCGAAGGCGGGUCUCUGGACAGUUCCUGACACUGAGGCACGAAGGCCAGGGGAGCAAACGGGG